rnacentral:lncRNA from 1 species
GCUGGUACUGCUCCGGCCAAGGCGCCUCAUGAACGUCAACGGGCGCAGCGUAGCCAAAGCUGCGGAGCUGUUUGGGCUGAGUGCGGAGGAGAUCUACCUGGUGCAUGACGAACUGGACAAACCCUUGGGAAAGCUGGCUCUGAAGCUGGGGGGCAGCGCAAGGCUGGGCUGAUCUGAAGGAGGUCUGGGCAAGAGAGUGCUGCCUCAGGAAGUACUAACUGCUCCUCAUAUCCCCCCCCCCCCAAGGGGCCAUAAUGGAGUCCGUUCCUGCAUUAGCUGUCUGAACUCCAAUGUGAGUCUACCCUUCUGCCCUGCCCUGGGUGGGGGUGGGCAGCAUUGGGUCCCCACUGUAUCUCACCAAUGCACCCUCAUUCCCCUGGCACCCUACAG